UCGAUUCAGCGGCGGACGGGUGAGUAAUACCUAGGAAUCUGCCUGGUAGUGGGGGACAACGUUUCGAAAGGAACGCUAAUACCGCAUACGUCCUACGGGAGAAAGCAGGGGACCUUCGGGCCUUGCGCUAUCAGAUGAGCCUAGGUCGGAUUAGCUAGUUGGUGAGGUAAUGGCUCACCAAGGCGACGAUCCGUAACUGGUCUGAGAGGAUGAUCAGUCACACUGGAACUGAGACACGGUCCAGACUCCUACGGGAGGCAGCAGUGGGGAAUAUUGGACAAUGGGCGAAAGCCUGAUCCAGCCAUGCCGCGUGUGUGAAGAAGGUCUUCGGAUUGUAAAGCACUUUAAGUUGGGAGGAAGGGUACUUACCUAAUACGUGAGUAUUUUGACGUUACCGACAGAAUAAGCACCGGCUAACUCUGUGCCAGCAGCCGCGGUAAUACAGAGGGUGCAAGCGUUAAUCGGAAUUACUGGGCGUAAAGCGCGCGUAGGUGGUUUGUUAAGUUGAAUGUGAAAUCCCCGGGCUCAACCUGGGAACUGCAUCCAAAACUGGCAAGCUAGAGUAGGGCAGAGGGUGGUGGAAUUUCCUGUGUAGCGGUGAAAUGCGUAGAUAUAGGAAGGAACACCAGUGGCGAAGGCGACCACCUGGGCUCAUACUGA
rnacentral:rRNA from 3 species